rnacentral:rRNA from 1 species
AACGAACGUUAGCGGCGCGCCUAACACAUGCAAGUCGCACGAGAAAGGGCUUCGGCCCCGGUAAAGUGGCGCACGGGUGAGUAACACGUAGGUAAUCUCCCCUCGAGUGGUGGAUAACCCUCCGAAAGGAGAGCUAAUACAGCAUGAGACCACGAGCUCUUCGGAGCUUGCGGCCAAAGCAGGCCUCUACAUGUAAGCUCGCGCUGGAGGAUGAGCCUGCGGCCCAUCAGGUAGUUGGCGGGGUAAUGGCCCACCAAGCCAAAGACGGGUAGCUGGUCUGAGAGGAUGAACAGCCACACUGGAACUGACACACGGUCCAGACUCCUACGGGAGGCAGCAGUGGGGAAUCUUGCGCAAUGGGCGAAAGCCUGACGCAGCGACGCCGCGUGAGCGAUGAAGGCCUUCGGGUUGUAAAGCUCUGUGGGGAGGGAAGAAUAAGGGUUGGCUAAUAUCCAGCUCGAUGACGGUACCUCCUUAGCAAGCACCGGCUAACUCUGUGCCAGCAGCCGCGGUAAUACAGAGGGUGCAAACGUUGUUCGGAAUUACUGGGCGUAAAGCGCGUGCAGGCGGCCUUGCAAGUCGGACGUGAAAUCCCACGGCUCAACCGUGGAAGUGCAUUCGAAACUGCGAGGCUGGAGUCCUGGAGAGGAAAGUGGAAUACUCGGUGUAGAGGUGAAAUUCGUAGAUAUCGAGUGGAACACCGGUGGCGAAGGCGGCUUUCUGGACAGGUACUGACGCUGAGACGCGAAAGCGUGGGGAGCAAACAGGAUUAGAUACCCUGGUAGUCCACGCCGUAAACGAUGAGUGCUAGGUGUCACGGGCUUUGACCCUCGUGGUGCCGAAGCUAACGCGUUAAGCACUCCGCCUGGGGAGUACGGCCGCAAGGCUA